rnacentral:rRNA from 1 species
GACGAACGCUGGCGGCGUGCUUAACACAUGCAAGUCGAGCGAUGAAGCUUCCUUCGGGAAGUGGAUUAGCGGCGGACGGGUGAGUAACACGUGGGUAACCUGCCUCAAAGUGGGGGAUAGCCUUCCGAAAGGAAGAUUAAUACCGCAUAAUAUGAGAGAAUCGCAUGAUUUUCUUAUCAAAGAUUUAUUGCUUUGAGAUGGACCCGCGGCGCAUUAGCUAGUUGGUAAGGUAAUGGCUUACCAAGGCAACGAUGCGUAGCCGAACUGAGAGGUUGGUCGGCCACAUUGGGACUGAGACACGGCCCAGACUCCUACGGGAGGCAGCAGUGGGGAAUAUUGCGCAAUGGGGGAAACCCUGACGCAGCAACGCCGCGUGGGUGAUGAAGGUCUUCGGAUUGUAAAGCCCUGUUUUCUGGGACGAUAAUGACGGUACCAGAGGAGGAAGCCACGGCUAACUACGUGC